rnacentral:tRNA from 3 species
GCCCCUGUAGCUCAAUCUGGAUAGAGCGGCUCCCUCCUAAGGAGAAGACUGACGGUUCGAAUCCGGCCAGGGGCA